UACGUAGGCAGCAAGCGUUGUUCGGAAUUACUGGGCGUAAAGAGUGUGUAGGCGGCUCGGUAAGUCUGCUGUGAAAGUCCAGGGCUCAACCCUGGAAUGCCGGUGGAAACUGUCGGGCUCGAGUCCGGAAGAGGCGAGUGGAAUUCCUGGUGUAGCGGUGAAAUGCGCAGAUAUCAGGAGGAACACCAAUGGCGAAGGCAGCUCGCUGGGACGGUACUGACGCUGAGACGCGAAAGCGUGGGGAGCAAACAGG
rnacentral:rRNA from 1 species